ACGCAAGUCAUAAUCACUCUCAUGAUUCUUUUCCCCCUGUUUUCAGGGGUGUAACAGUAAGACGUCAGAAUAAGACAAAGAGGCUUGCCUGGGCCAUGAAACACCGCCAUUGGAAUACUGAAGACUGGAAGAAGAAAGAGUCAUCUUGAAAUGGAAAUGAGGUGGUUUCUGCUGAAGUAACCGAUGCCUAAUAACUGAGACACCACUAACACCUUAAGGUUAUCCUGUGUUAAUUUAAUGCUUGAGCCUUCCACUGAGACUAUGACAGAUGAUAAACUGAAUGACCAGAUGCAUCUCCCAGGUCCCAUGUCAGGUCUGUGCUGUACUUUUUUUUUUCC